AAGUUGACCUCGGAUCAGGUAGGGAUA
rnacentral:rRNA from 1 species